rnacentral:rRNA from 1 species
CCCUUAGAUGUUCUGGGCUGCACGCGCGCUACACUGAUGCACUCAACGAGUUUACGACCUUGCCCGAUAGGGUUGGGUAAUCUUUUUAAAAUGCAUCGUGAUGGGGAUAGAUUAUUGCAAUUAUUAAUCUUCAACGAGGAAUUCCCAGUAAGCGCGAGUCAUCAGCUCGUGCUGAUUACGUCCCUGCCCUUUGUACACACCGCCCGUCGCUCCUACCGAUUGAGUGCUCAGGUGAAUAAUUCGGACUGCAGCAAUGUUUGGAUCCCGAACGUUGCAGCGGAAAGUUUAGUGAACCUUAUCACUUAGAGGAAGGAGAAGUCGUAACA